CUCAGAAAGCAAAGAGAGGAGUUUCGGAUCAUUUUAUCUAUCUUGCUUGCUAUUUUGGCGCGAAGAUUACAAAUCCUUGAGCGGAAAGUGCAGAAUUCUGUAACCAUGGAUAAUCUAUGUCUGUAACUUAGCUGUAGCUGGAGUUGGACAUAUUCUUGUGAAAAAAACACUGAAGAAAUGUAACAGUCACAAUUUCUUUUACGCAGCGAUCUGCUGGUAUGGACGAAAAUAGGAGAUCGUCGAUCUCCUUUUCGCACUAGCGAUCUUCGA